rnacentral:rRNA from 1 species
AGCGAACGCUGGCGGCAGGCCUAACACAUGCAAGUCGAGCGGAUGAGUGGAGCUUGCUCCAUGAUUCAGCGGCGGACGGGUGAGUAAUGCCUAGGAAUCUGCCUGGUAGUGGGGGACAACGUUUCGAAAGGAACGCUAAUACCGCAUACGUCCUACGGGAGAAAGCAGGGGACCUUCGGGCCUUGCGCUAUCAGAUGAGCCUAGGUCGGAUUAGCUAGUUGGUGGGGUAAAGGCCUACCAAGGCGACGAUCCGUAACUGGUCUGAGAGGAUGAUCAGUCACACUGGAACUGAGACACGGUCCAGACUCCUACGGGAGGCAGCAGUGGGGAAUAUUGGACAAUGGGCGAAAGCCUGAUCCAGCCAUGCCGCGUGUGUGAAGAAGGUCUUCGGAUUGUAAAGCACUUUAAGUUGGGAGGAAGGGCAGUAAGUUAAUACCUUGCUGUUUUGACGUUACCAACAGAAUAAGCACCGGCUAACUUCGUGCCAGCAGCCGCCGUAACAC